ACUUCGGCAGCAUGCUUGAUUUUUUAUCACAUUUAAGCAUUUAUGUGUGAUUCAGGACCUGCUCAAUGACAAGUACCGCUGGGUGAUAAAAUGAUAAUGAUUUAUAUCAAAAAUUAAUUUCCCUUGAUAUCGAUUUAAAACAUGGUCAAUAUGCUUAUCAAUAGUUAGCAUUCUGCCAUGUUUUGGUAGAUUAUACUAAAAGCCAAUAAAAAGGGGAAUUGCUCAGGCUCCACUUAGCGCUGAACCAAUCAUGUGCUGAAUUAGAACCAAGUAGCAGACAAUUGUGUAGUAACAGGCUGCAGCUACACACAACAAGCAAGUGAGAAGCAGCCCACAAUGCCUGUGCAGUCGAAACAACCGACCAUUCAGUCCACUUUCUCUAGCUUAACACAAAAUGUCGAAGAGACACAAAGACCUCACAGAUGCAGUAGCUUAUUCUAUUACAAAAAGACAUGCUACUAAUAAGCACUGGUUAAUUUCAUUUAAGAGUAACAGGGAACAUUUAAGAUCAACAAGUGAUUUUUUUAUGUUGUGAUAUUUAUCGAUAUUGACUAAUAUGAAAAAAAACACAAUGUAAUAAACUUUUUACAUAUCGCCCAGACCUGCAGACAAGUGUGCACUAAUCAUCCAGAAUUGUCUGUUUCCCAAACUUUUAUUUAUGUUUCUACAUCAUUACAGCAUUAAGACAGCAUUUGAGCCACUCCUGAGCUGAGUGGAUGUCAAAGAGAGAUGGCAGCUGAGUGACUCUGCAUCAUCAUCAUCCUUUAAGCCUCAAUAAUCUGUUUCCUCCACCUAAAAUCAUGACAUACUUUUUCUUCUUCUUCUUGAUCUGGCCAAAGAUUUUUGUCUACAUCAGAUCUGAUGAAGUCUUCUCGUGUAGGGCACAUGACCACCUGUGAUGCCCUCACAUGCAGCGUUGAUGAAUGCAAAUUUGAAGAUAUUAACAAAUUAAAAGUCUUAGUUUAGAUAAGUAAUCAUAAAGAUCAGAAGAUUUAAAAAUAGUUCAAUGGGUUGUUUAUGUUGAUUUAUAGAUUCAUCUAUGUCUGUCUGGAAAGAGUUUGGUUAUGGAAGGAGUCUUUAUCUCUUAGAUCAGCCAGCACAGGUGCGCAGGUUGGUCUUUCGUUUGGUCCAGGUUGGGACGAGCAUUAUGCCAAAUGUUUUUUGACUGUGAAAUGUGAGCUAAGUUGCGCCCCUUUUUUUGAUAUUUGUUUUGUUUUUGGAUGGUGAGCUCAAAGGAAUCUACAUCUGUCAAUAUAAACAGAAAAUCAACUUCAGACCUGUGAGUAUUGGAAUCAUUUUUAUGAAUCAAAGUGGACAUGACAUCAGUAAGGCUUGUCUCUUUUAAGUGGCUUUUGAAACUGUUUGGGAGGAAUCUGCCACUACAGAUGGCAUUCACCUGAAUCAUCUGAUUAAGUGGCUGAUGAUCAUUUACUUUCUCCACUUGAAAAACGCUGGAUAGAAAUCUCAGUUCUUUCAAACUUGAUUUUGAGUUCAUGAAACACCCUCACCUGGCAGGACUUCAGCCAACAUUUCGAGGGGACAUCAGGGACAUAUCUAUAUCUUGCAGAUUUUGACGAUAAAAUGGAUAAUUUAGCCCUGUGGUGCUCAAUAACUGAAAAAAUGAUCAUGUGCUGCAGAGUCGUAUUGUAUUUAUUCUUUUGCACAAGUAUACCAACACAGUAAGGUUUGUAAUCUGUUGUGAACGUCAAAGUAACUGUUUCUCUACCUGAGCUCACUGUUCUCAAAAAAUAUUUUUCUCAUUUGAGCCAAACUGAACAAGAAAAGCUGUUUCCCACUCCAGAGUCCACCUCCACAGUCUGUCAUAAAUAAUUUCUCAUAUUUGGAGCCCAAAAAUCUAAAGGCAGACUCACCAAGUUCAGAGAAAACCUGUGAAACUGUAGAUAAUCUGUAGACUGAGAGUGACAGAGUGUAGUUCAGCACUGAUGUUAUAUUUGGACAGGAACAUCCACUAUGGGAUCUAUGGGUAAAAAGAAACUAGUGCUAGAGACGCAUUAUCAUGCAAGAAACAAUGAUGAGUGUCACAGGAUCUCCUGUUAUAGAUCUCAGAGCAGAGUAGUAGAGCCAACAACCAGCAGGACCUCUUUAAGGCUUUUGACAGACACCCAACAGUUAGCUGGUUUUGGCUUCAUACUGCAGACUGUAAACAGACUCUUAAGCUCAUCUGCCCUGACAGACCAACUAUUUCAUCUCAACACUAUUCACCAGAGCAUUUGUGAACAUUUGAGAUUUCAAUAGAAUUUUAGUGGUUUGUAUGUUCACCAUUCACACCACUGUCUUUGUUUAGUCCUGAAAAAUGUCUAGGUCAACUAAUUCUUUUCCUAUUUUUUUUUUCCUUUUAAUUUAUUUAAUUAGGGAAUAGAGGCACACAGCAUAGCAACAGAUGAAGAGAUAGGAAAGUGCAGGAAUGCUCCUUCUAACCCAGGGGUGGGCAAUCAUGUGCCAUGGAGGGCCGAGAGUCUGCAGGUUUUCUUUCCAACCCAAAACUCCACUAGGUGAUUUCACUGAUUAGUCCCUGCUCUCUGCUUGGAGGUAAGGUAAUCAAUGAAAUCACCUGGUGGAGUUUUGGGUUGGAAAGAAAACCUGCAGCCUCUCGGCCCUCCAUGGCACAUGAUUGCCCACCCCUGUUCUAACCUGUGUUACUAAUAUUAUACAGUCAUGCUUUGAGUGUGAACAUUAAGGUCCUUACACACCGGGGCCGACGCGAAUAUAGAACGCGAAAUCAAGAAAUAUUCGGAGGAGAAUUUUGACGCCCCUAACUACACACAUCAAGCCCAAUGCGACUUUGCGACCGGGACCUAAUGGUGCCGUGACAGCAACGCUGUGAUUCAGUUUGGGACAGUAAAAAUACAUAAGGUAUGUUGUAUCUAAACAGGUUAGCUUACGAACUGAAGUUACUUAGCACAGAUGAAAGUUAAAACAAAGUCGUUUAGCAAACUGUUAAAGCACACAAACCACAAGUUGUCCUUCAGGUCGUUAUCUUUGUAAUGUUUGUGUCUUUUAUCAAAAAGUACUCUGUUCCCCGACACAUAAACAACCAGCCGGUUGGCCACGUUUAUACCGGUGAAUCUGACGUUGCAACAACACACAAUCUGAUUGGUCAGAAGUGGACACACAGUAUGCGAAACCUUAAAAAAAUCGACCAUGAUUCAAAAAAAUAAAUGUCACAAUAUCGCAGGAUGGGAAAACGUUGCUGGUGUGAACGCUUGUAUUGACAGGAUACAGGUUCGAAAAUUUUUUUAUCACUGAUCUCUGCUGCAGAUGUCUUGCUGCAUGGGAUCUCUACAGCUGCUUUAACUACAAGCAUCAAUCUCUCCUCUGUCCAUCUCUCCCUCCCUCUCUCCUUUCUAAUCCCAGCUUAGUCUCAGCAGAUGACUGUCCAACAUGAGUCUGGUUCUGCUCAAGGUUUCUACCCAUUAAGGGAAGUUCUUCCUCUCCAAUGUAACGUGUUAAAUGCUGCAAAAGUCCAUCGGUCAUGUGGUUGAAGAUAAUAAUGCAUCCGAUUUUAUAGCACUUUUCAUCAGCGACCUCAAAGCAUUUUAUAUUGGAUACAUCAUUCACUCGCUCACAUCAUGACACCUUGGUGGUAAUAAACUAGCUUAGUAGUCGCAGCUGACCUGGGGCAGACUGACGGAAACAUGGCUACCAGUUUGCGUCUACGGCAUCUCUGACCAACACCAUACAACACUCACAAUCAAACACCAGUGGAGGACACACACUGGGAGCAAGGUGGGUUCAAUGUCUUACCUAAGGACACAACGGAUAGUCUAGGAAUAGGGUAGGGAUCAAAUCGCCAAGUUGUCAGUUAUUGGGUGACUGCUCUACCUCCUGAGCUACUGCCUGCUAGUUGGGAUAUGAGAAGAUCUUGCAAGUUGGGGGUUCAGUCUUAUCCCAUCUUGACAUUGAGUCUUUGUAAAUAGAGUCUAGACCUGUUUUUUUGCCAAGCAUCCAGGGGUAACACAUAAUGUGAAUUUGUGAUUUAUUAAAAAUGGAUUGAUUGCUUAAUAUUAUGAAUGCCCUCUUUGUUUAUUUAAAAGGUUUUAUGUAGAUUUUUUUUAAAUAAGUGCCAUGAACUUCAUCAAGCUAAGGGGUAUUUGCUGAGUUUUGUCACGACGGAUUCAAAUCUGCCAGAUAGUUUGUCUUUUUUCCAUCUUUUUCCUCUUAGUUCAGUCUGAAUGCUUUAUUACCAUCACAAAUCAUUAUUCCCAUCUAUCCUCUGUUUUGUUUCAGGGGAAAUUCAAUUGCUCUCACUUAAUUCUGUUAAUGGUUUGAUUUCCUGUUUGCUGUGGUGUGACUCUGCUGUUUGAGCUCCAGCGCCAGAGGAAAGAGCUGACGAGGGUGUUGAUAGAUUGACAGUAGUGGCAGCUCACAGCACUGUUUGCUCCCCCUGAUAAAUAAAGAACAAGCAGCUUUAAUCUCUCCACGCUGAAGACACCGUUCUGCAUGCUCGACUCUGCUUUGCCUCCAGAAACCUCCACCCUCAGCCUUUUUUAAACAUUUGCCUCAGACCUCUCACAGUUGUCUUCACUCUCUCUCCCUCCUGAUCUGACUUAUUGAUCGCACUGUGGGAUCUUUUUAUAGCCUCCACAACUUCACCAUUUCCCCCUUUCUCCGUGUCUUUCAACAUAAAAACCUGGGACAAAACAUCAUCUGAUAAGAGCACACAGAAAGUCAGAAGCUUGAUGUGUAAAAAUUUUUUGUUUACCAGAGCAAAACACUGUAAAAGCUGUCCUAUCUCUCCUUGGAUUAUUCAAACAAAUCAGAGUCGUGCAGCAGCAAGUUUGUCGGUGAGAUAAACCCGGCAGAAAUGAGAGAGACAGCCUCACCCCACUCCUGGUUGCCAUGGUUACAGAGAUAGCAGCAUGAGACUGCUGUUGCAAAUCAAGAAGUGAAGACUGAUGGUGACAGAGAGGGGAAGUAACAUCAUGAUGAUAUAAUACAGUAUAAUUACAGCAGAUUAAAAACUCCAUCAAAUCCUAGAAGCAGAAUAAAAAAGUGUCUGUUAAUAAGAGUGUGAAGCUUGAAUGGACGAUGACAAACAGCUUAGAUUCAUACACUUGAUUGUUCUGCCACAGAUAAGAUACAUUUGAUGCCGUUGAACUAAUUAUUGUCACACUACGAGCUGCUAAAUCUGUCUAAUUGAUAGUUUAAAGAAGCUUUGAAUCACGCUGAGACGACAACAGAUGAUUUGACACAAUCUUAAAGCAGUCGACUUAAUCUUGGCAUCAGCGCCUUUCAGCUCUCUGAUUUAUCAAGGAUGCUGUUAUAUUUCCUGCACUUGAUACCCCUGCACAGACUUUUCAAAGAAAUAAAAGCCAUUAUGAUUAUCCACAGCUCAAAUCAAUCCUUCUUAUGUGAAACAAAGAGUCAACAUGAGUGAAAAUAAAAACAUCGCUGCUGGUUUUGUCCUUCCCCAAAUAAGUAAAACUGAAUUAUUCUGUACAUCAAACAAGUAAAAAUGCCCCCUUUAAGACAACUGUUUAGAUAGUUUUGGCUCAGGGGUCUAGGAAGGUGGGAGGAAGGCAACUAUCAUAAUUCAUUACAGUUUUAUUCGGAAGUCGGGAUUUCCGAGCUCUGAAUCAGAAAUUUAUCUGGAACGCCCCCUUGAAGUCAGAUUUUCCACUUGGAAAGUCGGAAGAUCCUCACCAACCCCGACUUGACGCCAACGUCAUAAUCCAAGAUGGCAGCGCACUGCAUCAACAGUAAAGAGCAACAGUAAAAGCUCUCAUAAUGUAUUUUUUAUUAGCACUUCUGUUUUGUUUUUGUGAAAUUAAGAAAUUAAGAAAACAAGUGGUGUAUGUUGUACUGCCCGACGUCAAACUGUGAACAUGAUGCUAUGGUGUUUGUAAGACUAAAAUACUGUGUUAUGCAUUGUUUACAACUGGUAUAGCUAACAACAGUAAACAACAGCUGACAAUGGCUAACAACAGCUGUUAACCGCUAACAACUGACAACGGCCAACGACAGCUGACAAUUUUAAACAACAGCUAACAACGGCUAACAGUAGGCGUCCAUCUUGGUUUUCCGGCUUGUUUACUAGAACGCUGUCAACUCUGGUGUAGCGUCAUUCCCAACUGCGACUUCCUAGGUAACUGGUUUGAGAUAACUUGCUGAUUUCCAAGAAGUGAAUUUUUUUUUUUACAGUCAGGUCCGCAUACAGUGGGGCAAAAAAAUUAUUUGGCAGCCACCAGUUUUGUAAAUUGUCCCGCUAACAAAGAUGAGGGAAGUCUGUAAUGUUCAUUAUGGGUACACUUCAACUGUGAGAGACACAAUGUAAAAAAAUAAAUAAAUAAAUAAAUAAAAAAAAUCCAGGAAAUCACAGUGUAUGAUUUUUAAAGAACUUAUUUGUAUAAUGGUGCAGAAAAGAAGUAUUCAGCACCUACAAACAAUCAAGAAUUCUGGGCCUCACAGACCUGUUACUUACUCAUUAAAAAGCUCUUUUAUCCUCCACUCGUUACCUGAAUUAAUGGCACCUGUUUGAACUCAUUAUCUUUAUAAAAGACACCUGUCCACAUCCUCAAACAGUCAGACUGCAACCUCUCUGCCAUGGCCAAGACUAAAGAGCUGUCUAAGGACACCAGGGACAAGAUGGUACAUCUGAUCAAGACUGGGAUGAGUCAAUAUACAAUAGGCAAUCAGCUUACACUCCCCAAUAAAUGCUUACAGGUCCACUGUAUAGAGGUUCCAUUAAAAACUAAAAACUCUUCCCAAGAUCGAACAAAAUGAGUCUCAAAUGAUAUUCAGAAGGACUCCUCUUCCUUCAUUGGGAGCAAUUCUCCUCUGCUUUUAUAGGCAGCUCAAUCUCCAACCCACCUAUCAGAGAGUGUACCAAGUACCUAGAAGGGAGCUCAAGAUCUCUCUUGUUUCAAAGAAAUCAAAUAAAACUCCAACCUUCAUUACCUGUACCUAACUUAACUAAACUUUACUCAAACCAAAUAAAUCACCUACUUAGACUCCCCUGAAAAUGCUAAGCUUGAACAAAUAAAAACAAAUCACAGAAGGAAAAACCCCACAGUUGGUCUCUUCCAGUGAUGUCAGCUCCGACAUCAUCAAUUCCCUAUAAACCAAGGAAGUACAGGCCAAUCCCUUUCCACCUUGAGGACCACAUGUGCUGCGUCCGAACUGCCCGCUCGGAUACUACAUGCUACUGCUACGUGCUACUGCUAGAUCCUACUCCUACAUACUAAACACGUUUGCCCAAUUCGGACACACUAGACGAGCGGUGGGGAAACACGACCCCCGCAGGCAGAGAGUAGGUACUGCGCCCGUGCAGACAGUGGUAACUGAAGCCCCUCAUCUGCGGGCCUGGCUGUAGUACUGCAGCUGUGCAGUUUAAUGAUGGAAUAAGUGAGCUUUACCUCCAUGAUGUCGCCACAUAUUUGCUCAUAAAAUGAUUACUUGGGCAAAUAUGACACCAUGACAUGACAAAGAGAUACAACCGCACAUUUUUUAGGACAGUGUGUGAAGUUACAUGAAACUUACAUCUGUACUGCUGCGGUCCCGCGACAUGGUGCGCGCUGUUGUGGCCAGCCGGCGUUCGCGACACAUUUAAAUAGGCAGAGCAGCUGGUGGCGCUAGCAUCACAUGCGCUUCUACAACUUUUAAGAGGACGAAGAAGAAGCCCGCGGUGCAUUUUGGGUCAGUAGCAUGCCCGUAGGAUGCACCGAGACCAACCUACAAUGUGGGCGUGUCUAGCAUCUGAAGUAGUAUCUGAAGUAGCAUGCUACUCGCUCCGGUGGCCAAUUCGGACAUGCUAGAUACUACUUCGACUACUACUUCGACUACUACUUGGCAAUUCGGACGCAGCUAUGGUGAGGUGACCAAAGAACAAAGAAAAGUAAGUAUGGAUAAAGAAACAAUUGCAGUAUUAAAUCCUGAAAACUAACAAAAGUAACUGAAACUAAAGACUAUGUGUUUGCUUUAACUUACUUUAAUCUGAGGCACUUCCUCAGAUCCUGCCUACCCUACCUUUAAGUGGUGAAUGAUAAAUACAGAGACGAUCUCACACACUAUGUCACUCUGUUUCAAACUGUGUUGCUUUUUUUUUGAGUUUCAACGUUGAUUUAUUGUCUUUGCACUAUUUUCCAUAAUAAUAUUCCAUAAAAAUCAACAUUGUUCCCAAGAGCGUCCGGAGCUCAUAUGGAGUUGUGUAAUGUGAUAUAUAUAAAUGAUGUUGUAUUGUAAUCUGAGGGAUGGGCUGUGAUAGAAAUUAAACACAUGCUUAUUUGAUUGAAGCCCCUAUCAGUGCAUUUAGGUGUUUUAGGCUGACAUAUGUGUAGGCCUGUAAAUACCAGUUUCACUUUGACCCCCAUAUGGACUACAAUAUUCUGGCUCCUUUUUAAGCCACUCUGUUGAAGUUGUACCAUCUGUACUUGGUAAACUUUGGUGUCUAGGGACCUUUUUUAUUUGUCUGAGUUUAAAAAAAAAAACAACAAAAAAACAAAAACAUAUAAACCUGACCAUUAUUUUCAUGGUCUGGGAUAGGUGCCCUGAGCUGUGACUAUGACGUUCCACUCAAGCUCCUGUUUGGGACUCUGCACAAACAGACGGAAAAAAACCUACAAACACAGUGUGGUUUCAUGUCAUGCCACCAGUAUUUCUUUUCCCUGAAACUGAAAUAACAAAAAAAAAGAGGACAUCCAUCUCUGUAUUGCAACCAGUAUUGGUCCGCACCACGGAGAAAGCAGCAAACUUUCUAUUGCAGUCAUGUCCUGGACAAAGAGGGAGCUGAAAAACUUCAAACACCAAUCUCCUGUUUCUUGAAGUGUUAAAAAUUUACCUGGGAAAGGUGUCAUGUUGCCUUUUAUGUAGAGUGUCUUUAGCCUCUUCCUGACCCUAAAUUAUCUAAGACAGGACAUGAAUAAUGAAUAGCUGGAGCAGAGGCUGCUCACCUCAUGGCUUCUUUUUUGGGAGUCAGGAUGAAAAGUUCAAGAACAAAGAGCAGCGUUUGAGGAUCAGCAGCCGAGCACACAUUCAGUAACUGUGGCGCCGCUGCAAUGAACUGGAGUACACCUCCCAGCGGAUAUUUACAGAAUGCUGAGUAGAUAUUAUUCCACUCCUCCCUGAGGUUUGAGGGGGAUCGCGGCUGCGAGCUGUAGCUGUAUCACAGUGGCUGUAUCGCAGUGGGGAGAGCGCUUAUGGCUGCUGCAGGGACGGAGGGCGGGAGGAGACGUGCCAGGUCCUCCAUCUUGCUCAGAGAUGUGAGGAUGAUUUAGGAGGCCUGUCUCUGCUGGGGUGUCGAGAGAGGGAGCGGGGCCGAGCAAUCCUAUUACUCCUCAAUGACCCUGCCUUAAUGCACACACACAGACACACACACUCAUAUUUUCAGCGCCUGCAUGGCUCACAUAGUGUUCAGGAAGCACUUAAAGACCACACCGUGUUCAAAAACCAGCAGGCGAAGUAGUCACACAAACCAGAAUACAAGUCCUCGCAUUAUGCCAGGUGUUUAGUCUUCCAAACAAACAUCUAUGGCUUGUUAAAAAAAACUAAUUUGCACUUCCUGUGAAUGUUAAACAAUGUGUAGCAACCUGCUUUAGUGAAAUGAAUGCUCCAUCUUUU